rnacentral:rRNA from 1 species
CGUGAGCAAUCUGGCCUUUGGAUGGGGGAUAACAGCCGGAAACGACUGCUAAUACCGCAUGAUGCAGCGGGGUCGCAUGAUUUUGCUGCCAAAGAUUUAUCGUCCAAAGAUGAGCUCGCGUCUGAUUAGCCAGUUGGCGGGGUAACGGGCCACCAAAGCGACGAUCAGUAGCCGGACUGAGAGGUUGAACGGCCACAUUGGGACUGAGACACGGCCCAGACUCCUACGGAAGGCAGCAG